rnacentral:rRNA from 1 species
ACUCAAAGGAAUUGACGGGGGCCCGCACAAGCGGUGGAUCAUGUGGUUUAAUUCGAAGCAACGCGCAAAACCUUACCUGGGUUUGACAUCCUCGGACCGCUGUAGAAAUACAGUUUUUGUAGCAAUACAACCGAGAGACAGGUGCUGCAUGGCUGUCGUCAGCUCGUGUGGUGACAUGUUGGGUUAAGUCCCGCAACGAGCGCAACCCUUGCCUUUAGUUGCCAGCAUUAAGUUGGGCACUCUAGAGGGACUGCCGUGGUUAACACGGAGGAAGGUGGGGAUGACGUCAAGUCCUCAUGGCCUUUAUAUCCAGGGCGACACACGUGAUACAAUGGAUGACACAAAGGGAAGCGAACCCGCGAGGGGGAGCGAAUCUCAAAAAGUCAUUCUCAGUUCGGAUUGGAGUCUGCAACUCGACUCCAUGAAGCUGGAAUCGCUAGUAAUCGCGGAUCAGAACGCCGCGGUGAAUACGUUCCCGGGCCUUGUACACACCGCCCGU